CCAUUCCUCUGACCUGGACGAGGAUAGUUGUAAAUGAUCCACAAACGUUGUUAAAUGCAAAGCUGCAGUUCACCAAACAAGGAAAAACUGAGAAGUUUUCUUGUCUUAAUGAGACGUACGCUGAAGUAAACAACAACACUCUAGACAGGCGAUGUAAUGAUGAUGUCACGAUAACCUCUUUAACUUUAUCUGGGAAUCUGUCAUCUUUAUGUUCUUUUUAUAUCAGUGGAGGGAGAAACGUUGCUUACAAUCAGACUGCAACACAGUCUUCAGACUGGGGAACAAAAGGAAAUGCAGUUGUAGCUGUUGACGGAAAUACUGACUCGAAUUUCAAAGGUGGUAGCUGCACUCAUACCGAUGGAGAGUCGUCACCGAGUUGGAAUCUGACCUUACAGAAUAACUACGUCAUUAAAAGGCUCAUCCUAUAUAAC